CAGUAGCCGCGGUAAAACGUAGGGUGCGAGCGUUAAUCGGAAUUACUGGGCGUAAAGCGUGCGCAGGCGGUUAUGCAAGACAGAUGUGAAAUCCCCGGGCUCAACCUGGGAACUGCAUUUGUGACUGCAUGACUAGAGUACGGCAGAGGGGGAUGGAAUUCCGCGUGUAGCAGUGAAAUGCGUAGAUAUGCGGAGGAACACCGAUGGCGAAGGCAAUCCCCUGGGCCUGUACUGACGCUCAUGCACGAAAGCGUGGGGAGCAAACAGGAUUAGAGACCCCCGUAGUCCCUGUCUCUUAUAC
rnacentral:rRNA from 1 species